UCGACUGGAAUUCACCUUCGGGUGAUAGUACGGUGGCGGACGGGUGAGUAACGCGUAAAGAACUUGCCCUCUAGACUGGGACAACUGUUGGAAACGACAGCUAAUACCGGAUAUUAUGAGAUUCUCGCAUGGGAAACUUAUGAAAGGCUAUAUGCGCUAGAGGAGAGCUUUGCGUGCCAUUAGGUAGUUGGUAGGGUAAUGGCCUACCAAGCCGACGAUGGCUAGCCGGCCUGAGAGGGUGAUCGGCCACAAGGGGACUGAGACACGGCCCUUACUCCUACGGGAGGCAGCAGUGGGGAAUAUUGGACAAUGGACCAAAAGUCUGAUCCAGCAAUUCUGUGUGCACGAUGAAGGUUUCGGAUCGUAAAGUGCUUUCAGGUGGGAAGAAAAAAAUGACGGUACCACCAGAAGAAGCGACGCUAAGUACGUGCCAGCAGCCGCGGUAAUACGUAUGUCGCAAGCGUUAUCCGGAAUUAUUGGGCGUAAAGCGCGUCU
rnacentral:rRNA from 1 species